rnacentral:rRNA from 1 species
GAUGAACGCUGGCGGCGUGCCUAAUACAUGCAAGUCGAGCGAACAGACGAGGAGCUUGCUCCUCUGACGUUAGCGGCGGACGGGUGAGUAACACGUGGAUAACCUACCUAUAAGACUGGGAUAACUUCGGGAAACCGGAGCUAAUACCGGAUAAUAUCUUUAAACGCAUGGUUCAAUAGUGAAAGACGGUUUUGCUGUCACUUAUAGAUGGAUCCGCGCCGCAUUAGCUAGUUGGUAAGGUAACGGCUUACCAAGGCGACGAUGCGUAGCCGACCUGAGAGGGUGAUCGGCCACACUGGAACUGGGACACGGUCCAGACUCCUACGGGAGGCAGCAGUAGGGAAUCUUGCGCAAUGGGCGAAAGCCUGACGGGGCAACGCCGCGUGAGUGAUGAAGGUCUUCGGAUCGUAAAACUCUGUUAUUAGGGAAGAACAAAUGUGUAAGUAACUAUGCACGUCUUGACGGUACCUAAUCAGAAAGCCACGGCUAACUACGUG